rnacentral:sRNA from 1 species
UAACGUCCCGACAAUUACAUGUAAGAUUC